rnacentral:rRNA from 1 species
CCUACGGGGGGCUGCAGUGGGGAAUAUUGGACAAUGGGCGAAAGCCUGAUCCAGCCAUGCCGCGUGUGUGAAGAAGGCCUUCGGGUUGUAAAGCACUUUCAGUGGGGAAGAAAGCCUUGGGGCUAAUACCCUCGAGGAAGGACAUCACCCACAGAAGAAGCACCGGCUAACUCCGUGCCAGCAGCCGCGGUAAUACGGAGGGUGCGAGCGUUAAUCGGAAUUACUGGGCGGAAAGCGCGCGUAGGCGGUCUGAUAAGCCGGUUGUGAAAGCCCCGGGCUCAACCUGGGAACGGCAUCCGGAACUGUCAGGCUAGAGUGCAGGAGAGGAAGGUAGAAUUCCCGGUGUAGCGGUGAAAUGCGUAGAGAUCGGGAGGAAUACCAGUGGCGAAGGCGGCCUUCUGGACUGACACUGACGCUGAGGUGCGAAAGCGUGGGUAGCAAACAGGAUUAGAUACCCGAGUAGUC